CAGACUUAGGAAUGUGUUGAUCGGCAGUUCUCAUUUGGGCACUUGAACUGUCUGGAGCGAUUAGUGCAACCGGCCAGUUUU
rnacentral:ncRNA from 13 species